GAUGCCUUCCAUAACGUGUAAAGUAAGAAGUUAGCCUGUGUUAAAAAGUGGUGAUCCCUGCAGAUUACCAAGGCAUCCAGUCUCCCAGCAAGUGCCAAGAGGCAUUCAUUCAAUGCUCCGCUGACACCAAUUUGCCCAAAGAAUAUUUAUGUGGGAGACUCCUCAGAUUGUGGAGACCCCAGAUUGUGGAGGCUCCUGGGCAGCUGGUCUUUUUGUGGACUCCUAAAUCUGGCACUGAACAAAAUUCUCUCUCUCUCUCUCUCUCUCUCUCUCUCUCUCUCUCUCUCUCUCUCUCUCUCUCUCUCUCUCUCUCUCUCUCUCUCUCCUCAACUCUCAACCACUGGAUGGUAUAUCAGUUCACACAGCAAGAAGCCAAGGACCCACCGAGGCUGUCACUUGGAAGAGGUCAUUGUUGUUGCAUCCAGCAUCCCAGCCUGACUGCCUAGACAGGUCCCGCAGGUUGCUGAAUGGCAGAGGUGCAGGCUGCUCCACAGCAAGAUGUGAGACCAGUGUGGCAGAGUAUGAUGUGUACACAAUGAGGGACACACUGUAGCCAACCCAGUAGAUUACCCGUGCUGCAGUGCUGAUUGGGUCCUCACCUUGUUGUAGGAGAGCUGACAACAUGUACCAGCCAGCAGCAACUCCCAUGCUAACAGGCUUCUCCCCCGUGGGUAUGUAGCACCUCUGGAGUCGCUCGAUGAAGAAGAGGAUGCUGGCGAGGCCUGUCGUGUUAGCCGGGAUGCGCCGAUACAGAGCUGUGUCCGUUGGGGUUGUGUAGGCAAGCAUCUUCUUGGCAAGGUCCUCGUAGGUGGCCGCAAACAGUUUACGGCUGUGGGAUGAGAACUUGUCUUGUGAAUGUGACGUUGGGAGGAGGGAAGCACAGGGGAGGAGGAGGACGAGGAGGAAGAGAGUGAAGAGUCACAAGAGGAGGAGGAAGGUGGAAAGAAAGAGGAAGGAGAGGAGGAGGAGGAAGAUGGAGAAGGAAAGGAGAAAGAUAAGAAGGAAGGCAAUGUAGAAUGGAGGCGUCCUUGGUUUAUGUUCAGUAAAGCCCCGUAUUCUUGUCAUGGCAAUGUAGAAUGGAGGCGUCCUUGGUUUAUGUUCAGUAAAGCCCUGUAUUCUUGUCAUGGCAAUGUAGAAUGGAGACGUCAUUGGUCACAUACUGUUCUAAUGUAUGUGCACUUGCCACGCUGUUCACCAGGCAAAAGGCGUUGCAGAAAGAGCGCGAGAUCACUGUGUUGUGGGAGAAGACAGAGUCCCUUAGUGGUCAGCUGGUGACGGUCCACAACCACAGCCACUUUGAAGAGAAUGGCCUGAGCCACGACCACCUUGCUCAAGAAAAUAUCACGUUGACAGAGCUGAUUAAACAACUAGAAGAUAAGCUCAAACUUUCAAAGGUACCACAAGUGUCUUUGUAUAUUAGUUUGGUUUACUUUGUAAGAUUAAUCAUUACUGAAAACAAUACAUGGAGUACGUGAG